rnacentral:rRNA from 1 species
AGCAGCCGCGGUAAUUCCAGCUCCAAUAGCGUAUAUUAAAGUUGCUGCAGUUAAAAAGCUCGUAGUUGAAUUUCAGGACCAAUAUGUUGGUCGUGCCUCGGUACGUACUGGCAUCGUUGGUUUCUCCUUUCUGAAGAACCAUGAUGUCAUUUAUUUGGUGUCGUGAGGAAUCAGGACUGUUACUUUGAAAAAAUUAGAGUGUUUAAAGCAGGCUCACGCUUGAAUACAUUAGCAUGGAAUAAUGAAAUAGGACGUUUGAUUCUAUUUUGUUGGUUUCUAGGAUCGACGUAAUGAUUAAUAGGGAUAGUUGGGGGCAUUAGUAUUCAAUUGUCAGAGGUGAAAUUCUUGGAUUUAUUGAAGACUAACUACUGCGAAAGCAUUUGCCAAGGAUGUUUUCAUUAAUCAAGAACGAAAGUUAGGGGAUCGAAGACGAUCAGAUACCGUCGUAGUCUUAACCAUAAACUAUGCCGACUAGGGAUCGGAUGGUGUUAAUUUUUAAUGACUCAUUC